AAGAUUAACUCUGAAUGUGGAGAGAUUAUUUUCUUGCUCGUAAACCUGGUUUACAUAUUUUCAUUCUUAAUGCUCAGUAAUCUUAAGGAAAGUCACCUGAAAGAAUACUUUUUCACCAAGUACUCUUCUGCGCCUGUUUGAAGGUGUCUGUGUGCUUGUGAAGCGCUCCCUUGUUAGUUCCUUCUGUGAGACUCGGGGGAGACUGAAGAGGGAAAUCACCUGCGGGGAAUGAACAGGAAAGCAAUAAGAAGAUUUGGAAAAGAGGCACUGGCUACUGGAGGAAGGGAGAAAUCACCGAGAGAGCGAAAGAUGUAACAGUGACUCAUGCCUAUAAUCCCAGUACUUUGGAAGGUCAAGGCAC
ensembl:lncRNA RABGAP1L-DT RABGAP1L divergent transcript